rnacentral:lncRNA from 10 species
UUCCUCAAAACGUGGCAGUCUCAGGGCAGUUGGGUUUCUUGUGUGCUGGCUCAGGGCUCCGGAGAGGAUAACAUCAGAAUAUCUUGUUCUUCCUCAGGCUUGGGCCCAGACUAGCACAGCAUCAUUAUCUUUUUAUUCUGUGAGUUAACAUAUUUCAGAGGACCAGUGCAGAUUCAGAGUGGAGAGGGCUGCAUAAGAACACGAACACUGGGAGGUGGCUUCAUUUGGGGCCAUCUUUGGAGACCAACUAUGAUGCAUGAUGUAACUGACCUGAAUUCCCAAGCCCCUACCCCCAGCUCCAGCAUAAGGUAGGUAAGAAGUGACUGGCAACAUAAGUGGGUCAUGUUGGAGGAAAGGUAAGUCUGGAGCUAGGCCUUACAGGUGUUCAGUGCCACAGAUGAAAAUGAUGGUGCCAGGAAAGAGGUAGGGCAGGAGGUCUUUCUCUUCAUGGGCCUCUUCCCAGAUUUCCCCUGUGGAUCUUGUUGGCAAAAACUGAAUCACAUCAGCACCUCUUACUGCAAGGAAGCCUGGGCAAGUCAGAAUCCGUGAAAGGGAAGUGGGAUUGUUAUUUCUGGCCUAAGUCAACCCUGAUUCAUUCUCCAGGCAUGUGUGGGCCAUUGCAGCCUGAAUUAAUCAGGAGGGAAGAAGAAGUGCGACGAUAACUGGCCAGUGAUACACAGUGGGAGGACAAAACAAAAUAAAACCAAAACAAAAUCAUCACACUAUGGAAUGAUGUGUCUGCUUGUACCAGGUCUGGAAGAAUGCACACCCAAUGCUCACAGAGGUUCCAUCUGGGAAAUCGGAUUGGACAGGGCCAGAAUAGAUCCGGGGAAACAUUCACUGAAUAUAUAUACUUAUGUAUUGUGGAAGCUUUGAUGGUGGUCAUGUACCCAAGAAGGGAAAAAGCAGACUGCGGAACUGCCCAUGAGGCCAAGCACCUAUUAGUAGACCAAGAAGCAUCACCCAUCCAUGGCCUAAGUCGGCAGCCAGCUAUUGUUCUCAUCUGAGUCUGGGAGUUCAGGAUUUCCAUCCUGACCCGGCUACUUUCUUUCAACAGUUACCCACUGUAAAUUUCCGAAUACUUUCAGCUACUAAUCCCAGUGUACCCAA